UACAGAGGGGGCAAGCGUUGUUCGGAAUUACUGGGCGUAAAGGGCGCGUAGGCGGCCUGUUAAGUCGAACGUGAAAUCCCCGGGCUCAACCCGGGAACUGCGUCCGAUACUGGCAGGCUUGAAUUCGGGAGAGGGAUGUGGAAUUCCAGGUGGUAGCGGUGAAAUGCGUAGAUAUCUGGAGGAACACCGGUGGCGAAGGCGGCGAUCCUGGACCGAUAUUGACGCUGAUGCGCGAAAGCCAGGGGAGCAAACGGG
rnacentral:rRNA from 1 species